AACGAACGCUGGCGGCAUGCUUAACACAUGCAAGUCGAACGCUAUCUUUGAUAGAGUGGCGCACGGGUGAGUAACACGUGGGAAUCUGCCCUUUUGUUCGGGACAACAGUUGGAAACGACUGCUAAUACCGGAUACGCCCUUCGGGGGAAAGGUCCGCCGCAGAAGGAGGAGCCCGCGUCCGAUUAGCUUGUUGGUAGGGUAAUGGCCUACCAAGGCGACGAUCGGUAGCUGGUCUGAGAGGAUGAUCAGCCACACUGGGACUGAGACACGGCCCAG
rnacentral:rRNA from 1 species